AGUGAACGCUGGCGGUAGGCCUAACACAUGCAAGUCGAACGGCAGCACAGUAAGAGUUUGCUCUUACGGGUGGCGAGUGGCGGAUGGGUGAGGAAUACAUCGGCAUCUUCUUUUUCGUGGGGGAUUACGUAGGGCAACUUCCGCUAAUACCGCAUAUGAUCUACGGGUGAAAGCAGUGGUUCUUCGCACCUUGCGUGUUUGAUUGAGCCGACGCCGGAUUAGCUAGUUGGCGGGGUAAAGGCCCACCAAGGCGACGCUACGUAGCUGAUCUGAGAGGAUGAUCGGCCACACUGGAACUGAGACACGGUCCAGACUCCUACGGGAGGCAGCAGUAGGGAAUAUUGCGCAAUGGGCGCAAGCCUGAUCCAGCCAUACCGCGUGAGUGAAGAAGGCCUUCGGGUUGUAAAACCCUUUUAUUGGGAAAGAAAAACAGCAGAUUAAAACCCCGAUGUUCUGACGGUACCCAAAGAGUAAGCACCGGCUAACUUCGUG
rnacentral:rRNA from 1 species